rnacentral:misc_RNA from 1 species
GAUGAAGAACGCAGCGAAAUGCGAUAAGUAAUGUGAAUUGCAGAAUUCAGUGAACCAUCGAAUCUUUGAACGCACAUUGCGCCCGCCAGUAUUCUGGCGGGCAUGCCUGUUCGAGCGUCAUUACAACCCUCAGGCCCCCGGGCCUGGCGUUGGGGAUCGGCGGAAGCCCCCUGCGGGCACAACGCCGUCCCCCAAAUACAGUGGCGGUCCCGCCGCAGCUUCCAUUGCGUAGUAGCUAACACCUCGCAACUGGAGAGCGGCGCGGCCACGCCGUAAAACACCCAACUUCUGAAUGUUGACCUCGAAUCAGGUAGGAAUACCCGCUGAACUUAAGCAUAUCAAUAAGCGGAGGA